rnacentral:tRNA from 1 species
UGGGUUGUGGCUCAAAGGUAGAGCGCUUGCCUAGCAUGCAUGAGGCCUGGGUUCAAUCCUUAGCAUCACAU